CUCGUAGGCGGUCCGGUAAGUCGGGUGUGAAAAUCCAAGGCUCAACCUUGGGACGCCACCCGAUACUGCUGUGACUAGAGUCCGGUAGAGGAGUGUGGAAUUCCUGGUGUAGCGGUGAAAUGCGCAGAUAUCAGGAGGAACACCUGCGGCGAAGGCGGCACUCUGGGCCGGAACUGACGCUGAGGAGCGAAAGCAUGGGGAGCAAACA
rnacentral:rRNA from 1 species